AAAUGAAAGCUCCCUACAUGUUUGGAAGGGACACUUCUUUGGUCAACAGCACAGUGGUGAAUGUCGGAAGGCAAUUCCAUUGUAUGUAAUGUGGUAUCUUUGAAGAGAUAGGAAUGUGCUCACAUAAAAGGGUGUCAACCACCAGUAG